GCAAACCAGGGUCGCCUGGACACGGCCUUUCUCGGAAAGGAGACCCACACCGACAUCCAGGCUCUGAAGAUCGAGGGUCGAAGACCGCGGCGGAGGCCCGUGUCACGAGCUUACGCGUACGACUGCCGGGAAAUUCAUCGCAGCCAUUUACAGCUGGGCAUGCAACUACACGUGUCAUGGAGCCGUUUGUAAAUGCGCGCCCAUGUAUGGGCGCCCCAGUCGCGUCAUCGUGCCUGAGGAGGUCUCGUCGGCGCUCGAGAUACUUCGUCGACGGCCGACGGCUGGCAAAGAACGUCCCUACCCUGCAUCGUCAAUUCAGCAGCUGGGAACACAACUGCUUCCAAAAUCUCCACUGAAAGCAGCGAAACACAAAUAUCUUCUAAUUAAAUUUAGCCCAUCUCUUGAACACGACACAACAAC
rnacentral:lncRNA from 1 species